GAACGCUCUUUUGAAAGUGACUCCCCAGAACAGUUAAGGUUUUAUUUUAUUUCCAAGUCACAGCCCCCCACUCUCGUACAGCUCACCUGGACCACUUCUGGUUGCCGGCCCGCACCUCGUAACUUAGGUUUGAGUGACCUCGGCCCGGGAUGCCCCUUGGCUCCCCCCGGGCUCAUGUCUUGAUUCUGUCUUGAGUGGCGCAGGGUGGGAGACCUGGAAGUUUUAGCCUCGCUGUUCUCAAGGCGGGUUAAUUAGCCCUAGAAACUUUAUAUUCAUUUUCUGCAUAUGCCGCCGAAGGAUCCGUGCCAGAAGCAAGCCUGUGAGAUACAGAAAUGUUUACAAGCCAACAACUACGUGGAAUCAAAGUGUCGGUCUGUCAUCCAAGAACUGCGUAAGUGUUGUGCUCAGUAUCCGAAGGGAAGGUCUGUCGUCUGUUCAGGAUUUGAAAAAGAAGAGGAAGAAAACCUAACACUGAAGUCUGCAUCGAAGUCAAGCUCUGCUGAAGUGCUGCUCCAUGUUUCCACAGAAUGAAUUUUUUUUUUUAUCUUCCUUUCUUCAGGCCAGGUAACAGCAAAUGGCAAAUGAAAAAGUCAGCUAUAAAAGUUAAUGAAUAUGCCAUCUAUGCAGAACAGGCAGAAAUAUAAACAUUAAAAGAUAAAUAUGCAGAAUGUAAUAAACUGAGCUGCUAAAAUAAACCUGUUUAAGAGAAAAAAAAAA